rnacentral:rRNA from 1 species
GAUGAACGCUGGCGGCGUGCCUAAUACAUGCAAGUCGAGCGAACGGACGAGAAGCUUGCUUCUCUGAUGUUAGCGGCGGACGGGUGAGUAACACGUGGAUAACCUACCUAUAAGACUGGGAUAACUUCGGGAAACCGGAGCUAAUAACGGAUGAUAUUUUGAACCGCAUGGUUCAAAAGUGAAAGACGGUCUUGCUGUCACUUAUAGAUGGAUCCGCGCUGCAUUAGCUAGUUGGUAAGGUAACGGCUUACCAAGGCAACGAUGCAUAGCCGACCUGAGAGGGUGAUCGGCCACACUGGAACUGAGACACGGUCCAGACUCCUACGGGAGGCAGCAGUAGGGAAUCUUCCGCAAUGGGCGAAAGCCUGACGGAGCAACGCCGCGUGAGUGAUGAAGGUCUUCGGAUCGUAAAACUCUGUUAUUAGGGAAGAACAUAUGUGUAAGUAACUGUGCACAUCUUGACGGUACCUAAUCAGAAAGCCACGGCUAACUACGUG